AGCGAACGCUGGCGGCAGGCCUAACACAUGCAAGUCGAACGAACCUUUCGGGGUUAGUGGCGGACGGGUGAGUAACACGUGGGAACGUGCCUUUAGGUUCGGAAUAACUCAGGGAAACUUGUGCUAAUACCGAAUGUGCCCUUCGGGGGAAAGAUUUAUCGCCUUUAGAGCGGCCCGCGUCUGAUUAGCUAGUUGGUUGAGGUAAUGGCUCACCAAGGCGACGAUCAGUAGCUGGUCUGAGAGGAUGAUCUGCCACAUUGGGACUGAGACACGGCCCAAACUCCUACGGGAGGCAGCAGUGGGGAAUCUUGCGCAAUGGGCGAAAGCCUGACGCAGCCAUGCCGCGUGAAUGAUGAAGGUCUUAGGAUUGUAAAAUUCUUUCACCGGGGACGAUAAUGACGGUACCCGGAGAAGAAGCCCCGGCUAACUUCGUG
rnacentral:rRNA from 1 species